CUCUAACCUACGGAUUGUGGUUGAUCUGCGACCAAGACAGAGUGUGGUGACUCCCAUGGCACAACAUGCUCAUGGCAAGCUGUGGGAGGGUACAGAAACCACAAAGUGAUGGUGACUCCUUCUUUUGGAGCCAUGGACAGGACAGCAGGAGACUGGGUCAGCACAAUCUCACCAUGAGAGGCUGAAACCACACAGGAAACAUUGGCAGAGCCUCAUGAUAUGUACAUGGAAGUCACCAGUAUCUCGUU
rnacentral:lncRNA from 1 species